rnacentral:rRNA from 1 species
GUCGAACGAUGAUGCCCAGCUUGCUGGGCGGAUUAGUGGCGAACGGGUGAGUAAUACGUGAGUAACCUGCCCUUGACUCUGGGAUAAGCCUGGGAAACUGGGUCUAAUACUGGAUACUACCUCUUACCGCAUGGUGGGUGGUGGAAAGGGUUUUACUGGUUUUGGAUGGGCUCACGGCCUAUCAGCUUGUUGGUGGGGUAAUGGCUCACCAAGGCGACGACGGGUAGCCGGCCUGAGAGGGUGACCGGCCACACUGGGACUGAGACACGGCCCAGACUCCUACGGGAGGCAGCAGUGGGGAAUAUUGCACAAUGGGCGGAAGCCUGAUGCAGCGACGCCGCGUGAGGGAUGACGGCCUUCGGGUUGUAAACCUCUUUCAGUAGGGAAGAAGCGAGAGUGACGGUACCUGCAGAAGAAGCGCCGGCUAACUACGUGCCAGCAGCCGCGGUAAUACGUAGGGCGCAAGCGUUGUCCGGAAUUAUUGGGCGUAAAGAGCUCGUAGGCGGUUUGUCGCGUCUGCUGUGAAAGCCCGGGGCUCAACCCCGGGUCUGCAGUGGGUACGGGCAGACUAGAGUGCAGUAGGGGAGACUGGAAUUCCUGGUGUAGCGGUGAAAUGCGCAGAUAUCAGGAGGAACACCGAUGGCGAAGGCAGGUCUCUGGGCUGUUACUGACGCUGAGGAGCGAAAGCAUGGGGAGCGAACAGGAUUAGAUACCCUGGUA